rnacentral:lncRNA from 1 species
GUGAGCUAUUUGCCUACUUCCCUGAACCUAUGAUACACUACAAUCUUCUGAACGAAGGUGAAUAAAAAGCUUGCAACAGACCCAACGCUAACAGGGAUGAUGAGAUGAGAUUUAGGGGAGGCUACAACUGCAACGCCUGUAAUCUCGGUACCAGAUUGGGCGGAUUUGCAUGCUGUACUCGCUCAUUGCGGAGGAGAAGGAUGUUAAUGGUGCCAGACUCUCUCAACCAGGCAGCCACCACAGCACUGGGUGACACAAACCUUCCAAUGUUGAAGCGUUCGACCUGAAACGGUGCUCCAAUUGAAAGGAGCAAUGCUUCAAUGACACGCCGGAGAGUGCUUGAGCCAGCUAUCUUGCUAUGCUUUCCCCAUCCUGUCAGAAUGCUGUAGAGACAUAAAACAUGGAGUUAGUUCAGGCAAAGCCAAGAGAUUCAGGACCAAAUACUAGAUUUGCACAAACGCAUGAUAAAAUGGAAGUGCUAGAUAAGGACCAAGUACCUUAAAAAUUCAGGCAUAGCUCGUCCUUCAAAGACAAUAGAGCGCACAUUCAGGAGCCAUGCAUGAACCAUUGCUUGAGCUGCACCACAUGACAUAAGGUGCAGGUCCAGGCAGAACUCGCUCCAUGUGUUCUCCCAAACACGACGGUUUACCCCUUCAAGCACAACUUGCUGAGCUCCUUGUCUCUGAAAAUGGUCAGUAACACAAACAUGUCACUAAAAUCGCUAAGCUAGAUUAUAGUGAGAUACAUACGUAUAUGGAAAGAGUUUACACAACUCAUGCAAUGAAAAGUUAGGAUGGAUAGUUGGGAGACAACAAACAAGUUGUCAAAAGCGAAAUAAAAUAUAUAGUCACAACAUUCCCAGGUCAAUAUGGUCGAGGAACACGGUACUACUUGUGGAAGGUUUUCACAAGGCAGGGACAACGUUCCUGGAAUAGGAACGAUGUUCCCAGCUCGAGGUAUGCCAGCAUUAACACCAUUCCUUGCAACUAUUAUAAAAGUAGUUCUUUUCCAAAAAAAAAUUAACAGUGGAAAAUAAUAUUACCAGAAAAUAGUGACCAUUAAUAAACAACAGCAGUACUUGAAUCCAAGCAUACAAUAAAGAGAAAAUCUACCUGGCCAAAAUGCCAUAGCACAUCAGUAAGAGCAUUGUAGAAGGCAGAAGAUGUUGGAGAAUCCAUGCGUCCCAACUGAUUAAAGAGGGACCGUGCUUGAGACCAAACUUCUCGAUGGCCCAUCAGAAGCCCAUACGCAACCCCAUAUACAAAGUUAUCAAACAAGCGAAGCUGUUCCAGUAAAAGGGCUGCAUCUUCAAAACUGUUACAGCGACUGCAAGAACAAGAUUAAAGCAAACAGUUAGAAACCACACAAAACUUAAGAGGACACAGAACUUAAGAGAACUUAGCAGGCUCAUCUUUCGCUUUUGUGCUAUUUGUUUUGAAUAACAAGGCCACAGCUAGCAUAUUCUAGUAUCAAAGAAAACGAUAGGUUUACAGAAUAUAGAGUAACUUUGUGUAUUCAUGAAAUACAGGAAUACUGAAGUUCAACCAGUGUAAACAUAAAUCCAUAUUGAAUUUAUCUAGUUUAAACUGAAAAAAAAACAGUUUAAUAUCCAGGGUAAUGCAGCACCAAUUGUUGAAUUUUCAACUGAUACAGUGCACAAGAGUGUAUUUCUACGGGCAGAACAACAUUAGCAAUAGAAAAGCUCUAAUGAAAUGAUGAAGAUGGAAAGAUGUACCUGCAAGCAUUCAGGAUCGCAGAAAACGUUACAACAUUUGGUCGUACACCCUGCUGGACCAUCUUCUGAAAUAAUUCCAGAAUGAAAAAUAAUUCCUGGGACCUCCUCAUCCGAGCAUCAACAGCAGAGCGCCACCCUCUGGUCGCUGGAUUAGCAGCCCUUACAAUCUGGCCACCAUAAACGCCAACAAUUCCCAGGUCAGCAAUCUCAGGAUCCUCCUCAGGAAGAAUCUUAGACUUGCCAAAUGCAUCGAUAAUUGUGUUGUAGGUUACAACAUUUGGCUUGAUACCCAUCUUCAUCAUCUCAUCAAGCAAAGACAAAGCACAUUCUACCAAGCCAUUCUUGGCUAAUGUAUCAAUAAAAGAGCUGAACAGAACAACAUCUGCCUUUAGGCCAGACUCCUUAAAAUCCAAGUAGACAUUAAAUGCAUCUCCAUGCAUUCCUGCCUUUGAAUAGAUAUCUAUCAAAGUUGAGUAUGUCAGCACACUAGGAGCUACACCUUGUGCUCGCAUAUCUUGAACAAGCAAAGCAACCAUAUCCAAGCGUCCUUGCUUUCCAUAUCCAUUAAUCAAGGAAUUGUAUGUAACAGUGUCUUUCUCAAUACCCAAACUCUCCAUCUCUUCACACACAGUAGCAAUUUCAUCAUACUUCCCUGUCUUCACAUAUAUCGCCAGCAAGGUGUUGUAGCAAACUCGGUCCAGUUGAAUUCCCAAAGACUUCAU